AUUGAACGCUGGCGGCAUGCCUAACACAUGCAAGUCGAGCGAGCGGCGGACGGGCGAGUAAUGCAUCGGUAUGUGCCUGGUCGCGGGGGAUAACUACGUGAAAGAGUCGCUAAUACCGCAUACUCUCUGACGGGUGUAUACGGGAUUAGCUAGUUGGUGGGGUAACGGCUAACCAAGGCGACGAUCCGUACCUGGUUUGAGAGGAUGAUCAGCCACACUGGGACUGAGACACGGCCCAGACUCCUACGGGAGGCAGCAGUGGGGAAUAUUGCACAAUGGGCGAAAGCCUGAUCCAGCCAUGCCGCGUGUGUGAAGAAGGCCUUAGGGUUGUAAAGCACUUUCAGUCGGGAGGCGUUACCGACAGAAGAAGCACCGGCUAACUACGUGCCAGCAGCCGCGGUAAUAC
rnacentral:rRNA from 1 species